UACGUAGGGUGCAAGCGUUUGUCCGGAAUUAUUGGGCGUAAAGAGCUCGUAGGCGGUUUGUUGCGUCGGCUGUGAAAUCCCGAGGCUCAACCUCGGGUCUGCAGUCGAUACGAGCAAACUAGAGUGUUGCAGGGGAGACUGGAAUUCCUGGUGUAGCGGUGAAAUGCGCAGAUAUCAGGAGGAACACCGGUGGCGAAGGCGGCAUCCUGGACCGGUAUUGACGCGUGAGGCGCGGAAAGCCAGGGGAGCAAACGGG
rnacentral:rRNA from 1 species